GUGCUGUCGUCAGACUCGAAACCCCAAGUAUUUAGUCUGAGCCUAUUGGGACACAGCUUGUGUAUUUAUUAUGUCUAUGCUGCGCAGCGCCGAUUCGUCUAGAACAAGCCUACUCUUAACUGUAAACAAGUCCCUCCGUCCCUUUGUACUGACUGCACUUUUGUACUUUUCCAUUUGGGAAAGGCGGACAAGAGGACUAACCUGUUUCUUCAUGUGAUUGAAAUUCAAAUCACUUUCUUAGGAAACCGUGUUUAUUGGCAUUGUACUGUAGAUACCAGUACAACUUGUAUUCCAUGUCCUGCAUCAACUUACACAGAUGAACCCAACGGACUCAUAACAUGUUUUCCCUGCACUGUUUGUGAUUCAGUCCAAGGACUAAGAGUAAGGAAGGCCUGCACACGCUCUGCAGACACAAUUUGUGAGCCACAGGAAGGAUUCUAUUGCAUUAAACCAAAUAAAGGCAACUGUAAAUUAGCUGAGGAACACUC